AGGCAGAGUUCAAGCGUGCCUGAAGGAGACAUCAUAAAAACAAUACUGAAAAGCCCUGCUUGGAUCUGACCAUUUUGGAAAAUUAUUGACCAGUCUCUAAUAUUUCGUGUUUCAGCAAGGUCCAGGAGGAUGUGGUGGCAUCUGAGCUCCCAGGGCUUCUAGAGGUCCUCUGUCCCGCACUGCUGUAAAAGGGGAAGUCCUGGUCUAAUUAAAAAGCCAAGAUCAUGCAGACCAGUUUGGGAGAAAUCCAGAAACAUAGCAGGAUAGUUUGCUUUGCAACCCAUCACUGGAAGGUAACCAAAGGCUUAAUUUACAAGAGUGUUGAGCUGCCAUUUGAGAAGCAGAAGCCACAAGCGAGCCAGCAAAUGAGGAAAGAAACUCAUAGGAGAACUUCAUCAUCAGUAACAUACCAAAGUGAUAAUAUUAUCUUUAAUAAGACACAUUCCUGGGAAAUAUGCCAGAAUUAGAGAAGUUUUGCCUAACUGUAAAGUAAAAGUGUAAAGUAACUGAAUUUCUCAUGGCAAGGUGCUGAAGAAUUUCCCCUCUGCAGAGAAAAAUCCAGUGAAAUUGUUUCCAAAUACCUCUGUCAAUAAAUCGGAUGGAGAGCUUCAAGAGGUCACUCAUGCACAACUCUAGAGGAGCCAGAUGGAGAUGCGCCUAGAGCUACAUCCAGAAGAGCAGCCAUAUUUGUUGUUGCUGUUGUUUUGUGCUGUGACAGAAGAUUUAUUGUAGCGUGAAAAGCAUGCGCUGCAAUAAAUCUGUUCAUUUUAAAAGGUGCCACAUAAUUCUCUGUUGUUCUGGGAGGUUAGGCAUGGCUUCUAAAAACAGUUGAGGUGGAUCAGCAGAUGAAACCUGGGUUUAAAAGGGGAAAAAGUGGAUGCUCACUUCUUACCAGACAACCAUCUUAUGGCUUGAAAUAAUCUGAUGGUGGAAUAUGUAUUUGGGAUGGUGGGAGAUAUUCAUUUUACAUUUAGUGCACAAGGGGUUCACAGUAUGACAGCGAGACAGCCAAAUGAGCCAGCCAAAUGAGCCAGCUCUUUCCAUGCUUUGGUGCGGCUCCCUUCCAAUCUUUCAGAAAUAGUUUCCUCAAAAUACACAUUUCUACCCAUCCCCAGAAAGCGCAUUCUAUUUUCACAUUUAGAUGUCAUAAAUUGGUACAUCUUUUUUGUUGUCACAUAACCACUUACUACUUGCAGAGUAAAAAUAUGCCACAUUUCCAAAUGCCUCUCACUGCUCAGCACUGCAGACAUUGGCAAAGGUGUGAGAUCCAGUUUCCAAGAAUGACAGACUGUAUAUUUUCUUUGCCAGCCAAAUGGACACAAUUAGCAUGUAAAAGCUAUCAUUUGAGUACAAAUUUGGUACAAUGGUAAACUGCACACAUGGGGCCCAAUCCAUCAGAAUGCAUUCAUUUCAAUGGAGCUUGCACAGGUAGAAUCUCAGGUGAUUUAUAUCCCUUGGAGGGAAGCAAGCACCGGUCCUGCAUUGAACGUAGCUAAAUUGCAGUCCAUGCCAUUAACAUGUGUUUAUAAAAUUUAUUUAAAUAACGAAUGAUCAUUCAAAAGACUGAAGGUGAAAAUUGACGUAACAAGCACAAUCGAUAACAUAGCAAACAGCUAUUAUAGCCAUUAAUAGAACACAUAAUUGGGAAAUAUGCAUGCAUAUGAAAGACAUUAAAAACAGAAAGAGCAGGAAGCUGUCCAAAUUUCUUGAGGCAAAAGAUUCAUCCUGGAAUAUCACAGCAGGAAUACUUGUCCUUGAAUUCAAGUAGAAGUAGCACAUAUUGGCAUGGUUCCACUGGAUCAAAAUGCUUGUGAAUGUCAUCCUAGAGAUUGGAAGUGUUAUUCUUUUUGGAUUACAAUUUGAUUAGUGGUCAUUGUUGUUGUUGUUGUCUGCCUUCAAAUAAUUUCUGAUUUAUGGCAACCCCAAGUCAAAUCUAUCACAGAGUUUUCUCGGAAAGAUUAGUUCAGGAGGGGUUUGCCAUUGCCAUUGCCAUCCUCUGAUGCUGAUAGGGUGUGUCUUGCCCACCCAGUGGUUUUUCAUGGCUGACAAGAGAUUCAAAGCCUGAUUUCCAGCAUUGUAGUCCAGCUUUCAACCCAUGACACCACACUAAUUUACCAUGAUCCACAGUUGUCAACUUCUGGAAGUUAUGGUUUAAAAAAUAAUGUUUCCAAAUACUUGUUGAUAGCUAAGUCUUCAUGGUGAUGAUUUCCAUUUAGUAAGUGGUACAUAUACGGAUAAAAUUGGCCAAGUCUAAUUAGCCAGAAGCAACUCAUAUUCAACUGUUACUUACAAAUUCACUUAUAACAAAGCCCCUGACAGAUGGCUUUGAUUGUGCUUUUGCUGCAUGAAGGCAAAAGGGGGUUGGACUUGAUAGCCCAAGGGCUUUGGCACUCCAGAUGGUUUGGGCAUCAGUUCCCAGUUGGAAACUAGGAUGGUCCACGUGGGAGAAAACUUAUCUGAGGCAAGUGUGAAUGGUGCAAUUGGCCAACUUGAUUAGCAUUGAAUGGCCUUAGAGCUUCAAAGUCUGGCUUCUUCCUGCCUUGGGGAAUCACAGAGGGAAUAAUACAGAGAAGCCACUGAAAUCCACAAGCAUGUGAACAAUUUCAACAGGGGCACAAAAUAGCAGACACAGAGGAAUAGAAAGCACCCCUCUCCCUUGCUUUCCCUCCUUGGCAUCGUUUUGUGUGGCUUUAGAAAAGCACAUUUUGAUUCCAUGCACAAAAUUGUUUAAUUAUUAGGAUCAUAUCUUGGGUCGCAAGAUAUGGUAUAUAGAAAGAUAUAGUGUGUGUGUGUAUAUAUAUGUGUGUGUGUGUAAUCUAUAUAUGUGUGUGUAUGUAUGUGUGUGUGUGUGUGUGUAUAUAAUUUAUUUACAGUAUUUAUAUUCCGCCCUUCUCAUCCUGAAGGGGACUCAGGGCGGAUCACAUUACACAUAUAAGGCAAACAUUCAAUGCCUUAACAUAGAACAAAGACAGAGACAAACGCAGGCUCCGAGCUGGCCUCGAACUCAUGACCUCUUGGUCAGAGUGAUUUGUUGCAGCUGGAUGCAGCUGGCUGCUCACCAGCCUGCGCCAAAGUGUAGUGUAUAUUAUUAUUAUUAGGAUCGUUUCUUGGGUCCCAAGAUAUAUGGUAUAUAUAAAGA